UUUAUUUUUGUUCUUUAAUUUUGAAUGCUGCAGAUUAAUUCCAGUCUCUCUGUCUCUGUCUCUGUCUCUUUCUCUCUCUGUCUCUCUCUGUCUGUCUAUCUGUCUGUCUCUCUCUCUCUCUCUGAUGUUUUUUGCUUUCUUCUUUGACUGUUGAGCUCUUUCUCACCCUUCAAGAUGUACCCCAAGUGUACUCUUCAAGGUGUUUGGAGGUUGUGACCUUCAGAAUUAAUAUUGAAAGUUAAUUCCCCAAUGCCACAGUCUUACGAAUUGGAAAGUUUAGAAGGUGAGUAGGACAUGAGGGAACUGUCCCCAUGAGUAGAUUAAUGUUUUAUAAAAACAGGGAUCCAGUUAUACUCUUAAUAUCCCUUCUCCUGCCAUGUGAGGACAUGGGGUCAUCCCCUCUGAAGGACAGAGCCAAAAGACACCAUCCUGGAGGCAAAGAGUAGCCCUCAGUAGACAUGAAACCUGCUGACCCCUUGAUAGUUCUAUUAUUUGAAAACCUGCCAGUCUCCAGUGUUUAGCCAGCUAGGAUAUUUCUCUUCAGGAACUUCCUUUCUUUCUUCUCAAAGGCAUAGUUGAGCACAGCCUUCAAGGGACCCCCUAAAGGCCCUCCUUCAACCUUCCCUGGUUGUCUCCCCUCAGUUAGCAGCUCCAGAGGAAAGUCAGAGUUCAUUUAUCCCAGAGCCAGGCUGGGAGUGGGCAAUCCCUGUGGGGAGGGGCUGUAACUCUAGAGCCUGUCUCUGGACCUGAGGAUCCCUUAGCCUGACCUUUUGCCUUUGGGUGGAAAGAGAAUCAGUAGAUGUCAAGCAUGGGAACCAGGUGGUGGGGAGAAAAGGAAGCUAAGGGCAUACGCUGCACUAAAUUUAUCCCUUAAGGUUUCUGCAAAACAUAUGCCCUCCCCCUCAACCCCCUGCAUGUGCCAAGUUGUGACUCUCACCUUCCUGCACCCUUGUCCCCCUCAUCUGUGGAUUUUACAGCCUCUGUCUCACUCUACCUUUUAAAGGUUCUUCACUUGGUGGGGCCAGGAAUAGGAAGCUUUAUUAAAAACACAUCCCUCCCAGGUUACAAUGCCUAAUGCCCGAAUGCAUAGAUGUCACUGUCCAGCCAUUUGGCUUGGGAAACUGGGGCAGCCAGGUUGGGUUAGUAAAGCAGGAGCUGAAGGGUCUUGUCUGCUUCCUCACGGUAGCCCAUGGAUUAACACCAAGUUGGCCCAUUCAGCAAAAUAAAUGCAUAAAAUGAGAUGAUUUAGACUCUUUUCUCCUGCUUGAUUUGUUUAGACUUCUGAAAGGACAGUCAAUUAUUUUUACAAUUAAGCAAAAAUCCUGAAAUGAAUAACAGGCGGGAGGCUGGGAAUAAACGUAACCACAGAAACAUUUGACUGUCUUUAUGUGUCAAUCCCCAUGUUGAACUCUGAGAGAUACAAGUGCAGCCCUGGACUUAGACACUGUGUGGUGGGAUAAAAGACCUCUGUGCUCACAGUCAGUCAGAAAGCAAUGUGACACCCAACAUGACUGAUGUCACAGUGAUCUUCACAGUGAUGCUUCUUGGCAACAUCAAGAGGGAGCCGGUCACACUCAUUUCUGUUCUGUGGAGGAAGAAGCUAGGGCUCAGAAUUAGAUGAAUUUUCCAGGAUCCAACUGGAAGUGGGCGUGUGGAGGUGGUCAGUACAGUUCUCAACACUGGUACUCACACAUCUGUAACAGGCAGGGACACGUCCCAAUAGAGAUUCCUAAACCUUUGGAGGUCCUUUUCUUUGUAUCUUCCUAUCCUUUUUUUUCUCAUUUUUUUUGUUUGUAAGACAAGGUUACAAUGAAGCCCACAUUGGUUUAGAGGUCACUAUUGGAAUUGAGGAUGAUCUUGAACUCUUGAUCUUCCCGAAUCUAUGUUCCUAGUGUUGGGAUUACAGGUGUGUGCCACCAGACCCAGCUUGUGAGACCCCCUUUUCAUUUCACUGUCCCAACGACUGGGGAAGUGGGAUCAGCGACCCUGUUCUACAGAAACUGACAAAUAUAUCCUAGAAUAUAUGUGUAAAUGCAUGAGAUACAAGAGAUUUAAUCUUGGGAAAGAAGAACAAGUUGCGGUACCUACAUCUCUCAACUUUAAAACUGCUAUACAGGGACAGUAAUGAAGUCAGGGGUCACUGCAAGGAUAGAGAUGAGUGGGAUAAAAUGGAGAGAUCAGGAGCAAAGUUUCGCAUUCAUGCUCAAUUGAUUUCAGACAGAAGUAGCAGGACAAAUGAAUGGAAGGAAAGUCUUUCCAAUCAAUGUUUCAGAGAUAAUUGGAUAUCUUCAUGCAAAUGAGUGAAGUUGGGCUCAGACAUCAUUCAAGAUACAAAGCUUAACUCAGUGGAUCACAGGCCUAGAUGUAAGAGCUGAGAGUAUUAGAGGAAAACAAAGGACUAGAGCUGCAUGAUUCCGGAUAAGCGGUCGCUUCUUUGAUGUGACACAAAAAUCACAGGCAACAAAAGAGAAAUGGGAUCUAAAUUGGACUUCAUCAAAAAUGUAAAAACUUGCCUUUCAGAGCAUAUUCUCAUGAAAGGAAAGGGAAAUGACAGCUCAUAGAAGGAGAGAACAUUCUCUCAAAUCGUGGACAAAUGGCUUAAAUGAAGAAUAUAUGAAAUCUUACAACAAUAAAAAAGACAGACAAGCCCAUUAACAAAUGGGCAAAGAACCAGAAUAAACAUUUCUUCAAGGGAGUUUUUUUUAUUGCCAAUAGUCACACAUAAAGAUGACACUAUUAGUCAUUACAAAAUCCAAAUCAACCACAAGAUAGACCAUUAAAAUCCUCAGAAUGUCUAAAAAAGAUCUAUAAUAAAAAGCGUUGAUUAGAAAGGAUAUUAAAAAGUUAGGAACUUCAUGCAUAUCUAGAGGGUUUAUAAAUGGAAUAGCUGCUCUUGAAAACUGGUUGCCAGUUCUUGAAAAUAUUAACCAUGGAAUUACCAUAUUGUAGUACCUAGCAAUUAUCAUGCCAAGGAUAUACCUGAAGAAUGUAGGACCUAGCAAAAGCAUUCUCAGGAUAUGCCUAAAGAAUGUGGAACUUAAGAUAUCACUCAAAGAAUGUAAGACCUAACAAUAUCACACUCAGAAUAGACUAAAAUAAUGUAGGACUCCCCAGAAUCAACCACAGGGAAUAACCAAAGAAUGUAGAACCUAGCAGGAUCGCCCUCUGGAUAAACCAGAGACAAUGUAGGACCUAGCAAAAGAACCCCCAGAAUAUAUCCUAAAGAAUGUAGCGUUCAUCAAUAUCAUCUCCAGGAUAUACCCAAAAAGGUUGGACUGAAAUAUAUCACACUCAGGAUCUACUCAAAGAUCUAGGAUCCGGUAAUAUCACACUCAGAAUAAACCUAAAGAAUGUAAUAGCCAGCAAUAUGGCUUUAAGGAUAUAUCCAAAGAAUGUAAAACCUAAUAAUAUCAUUCUCCAAAUAUAUGCAUAGAACUGAAAAUAUAUAUAUCCACAAAAUUGCACAUAACAGUCAAAAUGUGUAAGUAACUUAAGUGUUUAUCAAGUGAUAAAUGGGUAAAGAACAUCAGAGUGUGUGUAUGUGUGAGUGUGUGUGUGUGUGUGUGUGUGUGUGUGUGUGUGUGUGUGUGUGUGUAGUGAAACUAAUUUAUACUACAACCCAGAUAGAAACUGAAAACAUUAUGCUAAAUGAAAGAAAUCAGACGGAAAGGCAGAAUCUUGUAUGAUUCCAUUUAUACAAAAUCUUCAGAAUAGUCAGGUCCAUAGAGAGAGAAAGUAGAUUAGUGGUUGUCAGGGAUGGGGGAUGCAGGGGACGGUGAGUGACUGCUAACGAGGGUUUCUUUGGGGGUGAUGAAAUGUUCUAAAAUUAGAUAGUGAUGAUGGUUGCACAACUCCGUGAGUAUUGUAAAAAACCAGGGAAUUGUAUGCUUUAAAAGGGUGGAUUUUAUGGCAUGGGAAUUAUAUCUCAAUAAUGCUAUUAUAAAAAAACAUGCAAGAAAGAGACUGUAGGGAAUGUGGAGAGAAUGGGAACAGCUGACUUGCUGAGGGUGCUAAGAUGGACGGCGAUUUUAUUUCUGUCCCAUUAUUGUUGUUUGUGGAACAAUAAUACGAAAAGGAAGGACACAGGGAGGGAGGCUUGGUGUAGAAAAAGGGCCCAGGUUUGGAGUUAGGAGAGCUGGAGUUUUAAUCACUCAUGCUGCUAGUUGAUGACCAUGUGCUAUUGGUCGGUGUCUACGCCUCUCUGGGCUCCAGUACCCUUUUCUCAGAUGCAGGGUAACACCAGCCCUCUAGAGCCACUAUGAGGAUCACAGGAAGCCUUUCAUGCCCAACAGCAGCGUGUGGCUGGUUCUCAGGAUGCUUGUUUUUCUUCAUUUAUUCACUCAGUUCUAGCGCAUCAACUACCUCCUGGGGAUACGGAUCUAUAGAGAUGAGGUCUUGUUCUUAAAUAUGGUAGGAGUGAAAGUGGAAGACAGACAUAGAACGUGCUCCACGGAGAUCAUUGGGAAAGAGUAACAAUAAUGCUAUUCACAUAAGAGCUUGGUGGAGAGCUCAGUGCACAGAGGAAACACGUUUCGGCACUCAUGUUGGGACCUAUUGGGGAAGGACACAGACUAAGAAAUUCAAAUCCCCACCUCCACCCCAUGCUUGCUCUGUGGUAUGGUUGGCCUCCACCUGUGUCAUCUCAUGCACUUCCCAGAGAAAGGAAGCAAGAGAAAGAUGACAACCCACGUUGGAAAUGACAAGCUAGUCUUAACAGACCUCGAGCAUUAGGUUUCAUGCAGCCACCACAAGGGAUGGAAUCUAUCCUACUCAGCUUUAGCUGCCUCUCCUCAGGAAUCCCAGCCUCAAGCACUAGGAAGGGAGAUGAUGGGGAAAGUGACUACUCACACAAGGAACAGAUUUCCCCAAGUCAAGGUGGUAAGAUAACUUGACUAUGCCUUUCUUUCCCUUAGUGCCCAGCGAGUAUCAUGUCCGAAUCCUUAGGACUCAUACGUCUUAGACCAUCUGAUGGACAUUUAAUGGCACCUUCCAGGAAACAGUCCUGGCCUGUAGAUUGUCAUUGCCUAGUAACUACAUCCUCACUAAUGUCACUAAUUCAUGAGUGGCGGCAGGUGCUUUAAACAAACUAUUUCCUCUUGGUGGGUCAUGACCAUCAGUCAUCACACAGCAGAGCGCCUAGGGUGACCUACAGAAGAACUUGGGUAUGGAUAUGACAAAGAAAUGAGCAGAAGACCCCAGACAUUGCCAGGCCCAUGGUAAUGGUGAUGAGAAUUACAGCUCAGUGAGGGCUGGGAUGGGAUGAGGGGAUGCUAGAGAAUACAGAAGGUGAAAGGAGUUGAGCUGGAGUUAGUCUAUUUGGCCCGUGAGUCGCCCAUGCUUAUAUUAGAAAGCCCUCACACUUCCAUGAAUAACUCCAAUAAACCCAUUAACUCACCAAGAUAGACUUGUAUAGAAUUGCUUAUCCAUCUGUUAGUGACAGUCUGGGGUGAUUAAAAUGCUUUUAUAGUUCUCUAAGGAAAGUUAGACCAUGGCAGGAAACCCGAGCAUUGGACAUUCCCAGAAUGCCAGGACUAUACUGUUGCUCCUACAGGAUUUGGAGCCUGAGCAAUACAGUAGGUCCAGUAUAUUCAGACACCAAGGUAACCUUGAAGACCAGAGAGGUCAGGUAACUUAUUCUUGAUUGCACAGAAAAUCUGUAGCAGAGAAAGGAGUGAAGACUUGAAUCGGGCUCUUUGUUCUCUCACAUUGAUUUCAAAUUCCAUUUUUAUACAGAGAAGUUACUGUCUCAAGGACCAAGGCCACAGUCCCCAAAUAGGAGGGAAAACACACAGUGUCGGGGGGCUGAGGAGCCGUGCUUAUAAUUUGAACUAUGGGACACUGGUUUUAUGCCUACGUCCCUAAGAACUUAGCUAAACACUCAGCACAGAACUGGGCCUCAGUGAGUCCUCUCUGGAAAGCCCUUCUCUCUCAUAGGUUCUGGUGGAGUCUGCUUCCAGCUCAGCGCCAAAGUUCUACCUUUACCAAAAGCAACUUGCACAAAGGCAAGGUCAGUAGCAGAGAGCAGGCAUUCAGUUCAAAGACCCAAGCAACCCUGGAGGGCCUCUGCCAAGCUUGUGGCACCUGGACAGCUGGACGAAGAACAGUGCCAUUUAUCAAGUGUCAUUACCAGCCCUGACUUAGCUUACGUGUCUGCCCCAGCCCAUUGGCUCCAACAGCAAGUUUGUGGUUCCCAAAGGCCCCUUGCAGAUGAAACAUGAAUAGAAUUGAAUAAAGAGCUCUGCUCUGAUCAGCUUGAGAGCCAGUGUGUGCUGGUGAAAGAAAUAGAAGGUUCUCGAGAUAGCCAGUGUGUUUGGUGGUGAUGGCUAGGUGGGUAGUUCUCACAACUCUUUUCCAAUGCCUUGAUAGAACAACAACCAACACUUUGGAAUAACAACCAAAGUCAGGCCACACUCAAGAGGGACGUCGUUAAGAACUCAUUUCAGGGGCUUGCGAGAUGCCGUAAGUGCUUACUAUGUAAGCAUGAGAACCUGGGAUAGACCCACAUCACUCACAUAAAAGGCUGAGUGUUGUAGUGCACCUCUACAAUCCCAGCCCAGAGACAGGAGAAUUCCUGUGACUCUCUUGGGAGCCAAUCUAGCCAAACUGCUAAGCUCCAGCACAGAAAGACUCUGUCUCAGAACUGAGGUAGAAAGCAAUUAAGGAUGUAUCUGACAUCAACCAGGGCUUCCACAUAUGCACGUAUACCUAAACACACACACACACACACACACACACACACACACACACACACACACACACACACACACUUAAAAACAA